rnacentral:rRNA from 1 species
AUGGAUCUUGAGGCCCUUGAGCGUAUACUUGAUGGAAGAGAGAAGCCGACAAAUCUAUCAUUCGAGCUUUUGAAGAGUAUCACAGAAAAUUUCUCAGAUGAUCGAGAAAUUGGCCAUGGUGGAUUCGCAACGGUUUAUAAAGGAUUGCUCCCAAAUGGGAAUGUUGCUGUAAAGAGGAUAAGGAACGGCUAUACCAUCAAUGAGACCUUUUUUUAUCGAGAAGUUGACAGCCUGUUGAACACUGAACAUAAAAAUGUCGUACGGUUUCUUGGCUUUUGUGCUAGCACAGACAAGAUAGCCAUACCAACCGGAGGAUCGAAAGAACAUAUUUACGCUGAGGUACGAGAAAGAUUACUCUGUUUUGAGUAUAUCAGCAACGGAAGCCUGAAAAAAUAUAUUACUGGUACGUUGUUGCAUCCGAUAGCUGUUAUCUUUGUUUAUUUAUCUUUUCCCGUUCAUUUCAUGUUCAGUAUAUAG